rnacentral:lncRNA from 1 species
CUGCUGACUGGAGGGAGGAUUAUUACCUGUUAUGAGACAUUUAUUUACCCCGCUCCCUCACAAGUCUGGUCUUUUUAGGUACCCGAACACGAACUUCCAAGACUAGCCCUGGCUCAGUUGAUGAACUUACAUCCUGAUUUAGUCAUUAAUGAAUAAUACACACAGCCGGGAACUGAUGCGUCUAGGAACUGUUCGUUCGGGUACCUUGGAUUCCAGCCGGUUUAGAGUCAUAGAGGAAGUAGGCGGCCGCGCGC